rnacentral:rRNA from 1 species
UAAAGCGUGCGCAGGCGGUUUUGUAAGACUGUCGUGAAAUCCCCGGGCUCAACCUGGGAAUGGCGAUGGUGACUGCAAGGCUAGAGUUUGGCAGAGGGGGUAGAAUUCCACGUGUAGCAGUGAAAUGCGUAGAUAUGUGGAGGAACACCGAUGGCGAAGGCAGCCCCCUGGGUCAAAACUGACGCUCAUGCACGAAAGCGUGGGGAGCAAACAGGAUUAGAUACCCCAGU